UGGAGAGUUUGAUCCUGGCUCAGGACGAACGCUGGCGGCGUGCUUAACACAUGCAAGUCGAGCGGAAAGGCCCCUUCGGGGGUACUCGAGCGGCGAACGGGUGAGUAACACGUGAGCAACCUGCCCCUGACUCUGGGAUAAGCCUGGGAAACUGGGUCUAAUACCGGAUAUGACCAGCCUCCGCAUGGUGUGUUGGUGGAAAGUUCUUCGGUUGGGGAUGGGCUCGCGGCCUAUCAGCUUGUUGGUGGGGUGAUGGCCUACCAAGGCGACGACGGGUAACCGGCCUGAGAGGGCGACCGGUCACACUGGGACUGAGACACGGCCCAGACUCCUACGGGAGGCAGCAGUGGGGAAUAUUGCGCAAUGGGCGGAAGCCUGACGCAGCGACGCCGCGUGGGGGAUGACGGCCUUCGGGUUGUAAACCUCUUUCAGCAGGGACGAAGCUUACGUGACGGUACCUGCAGAAGAAGCGCCGGCUAACUACGUGCCAGCAGCCGCGGUAAUACGUAGGGCGCAAGCGUUGUCCGGAAUUAUUGGGCGUAAAGAGCUCGUAGGCGGUUUGUCGCGUCUGUCG
rnacentral:rRNA from 1 species